rnacentral:misc_RNA from 1 species
GGUGAAGCAACAGACUCCGGCCACCACUUCGGCAGCUGCUCUCGCUUCACCGGGCGCUUCCGUAAUGCUUCCCUAGACUUCACAUCACUACCUCUAGGAGGCGAGAGAGGAUUCACCGAACCCCGCGAACUCCGGCUAUCCACCUCCCUCUCACCAAACUUCCUCCCUAUAACCACCUCUCUCCCUGCCAGGCUUCGGUCCCUCCGAACCACCGGGCUUCCGCCAUCCCACCACGUCCUCAACCCGAGCCCGGAGCCCAGCCACGUCAGAGCCCUAACUGCG